AACUGGGCCGGCUUCUCGGCGUGCCUCACCAUCCCGGCGCCGCCCAACCUCGGCGAGUUGAGGCUGAGCGCCCUGAGCACGUCGGCGUCGAGGGUGGGAGUCGUCGUCGGCUUGUGGUGGACGGGGGGGUCGGGGGUGUAGAAGAGGUCGUCGGUGUCGACCAUGUCGAGGAGGUCGAGCGAGUCGUCGGGCAGGAGCGCGGCGAGGUCGUCGUCGAACACCUGGCGGUGGUGGUCCUCCUCCGCCGCAGCGUCCUCGUACAUCUGGUGCUGCCUGAACCAGUGGUCGCGGAACCACGCCGUGGUC
rnacentral:lncRNA from 1 species